rnacentral:rRNA from 1 species
CCUUGCCAGCCCGCUCAAGAACUCAAAUGAAUUGAGGGGGCCCGCACAAGCGGUGGAGUAUGUGGUUAAUUCGAUGCAACGCGAAGAACCUUACCUGGUCUUGACAUCCCGGAGACCCUUAGGAAACUAGGGGGUGCUUCCAUCUGGAAGAAUCUGGAGACAGGUGCUGCAUGGCUGUCGUCAGCUCGUGUCGUGAGAUGUUGGGUUAAGUCCCGCAACGAGCGCAACCCUUGCCUUUAGUUGCCAGCAGUUCGGCUGGGCACUCUAAAGGGACUGCCGGUGUUAAACCGGAGGAAGGUGGGGAUGACGUCAAGUCCUCAUGGCCUUUAUGACCAGGGCUACACACGUACUACAAUGGCCGAUACAAAGGGCAGCGACACUGCGAGGUGAAGCCAAUCCCGUAAAAUCGGUCUCAGUCCGGAUUGGAGUCUGCAACUCGACUCCAUGAAGUUGGAAUCGCUAGUAAUCGUGGAUCAGCAUGCCACGGUGAAUACGUUCCCGGGCCUU